GGAUUGUGGCUCAGUGGCAGAAUACUCGUCUAGCACAUGCAAGGCCCUGGGUUCAAUCCUCAGCACCA
rnacentral:tRNA from 1 species